UACGUAGGGUGCAAGCGUUGUCCGGAAUUAUUGGGCGUAAAGAGCUCGUAGGCGGUUUGUCGCGUCUGCUGUGAAAACCCGAGGCUCAACCUCGGGCCUGCAGUGGGUACGGGCAGACUAGAGUGCGGUAGGGGAGAUUGGAAUUCCUGGUGUAGCGGUGAAAUGCGUAGAUAUCGGGAGGAACACCAGUGGCGAAGGCGGUUAGCUGGCCUGUAACUGACACUGAGGCGCGAAGGCUAGGGGAGCGAACAGG
rnacentral:rRNA from 1 species